AUUGAACGCUAGCGGGAUGCUUUACACAUGCAAGUCGAACGAGUGGCGGACGGGUGAGUAAUAUAUCCGAAUGUGCCUAGUAGCGGGGGAUAACUACUCGUAAGAGUGGCUAAUAACGCAUACUAUUGCAGCAGCCGUCAGCGGAAUAGCUAGUUGGUGGGGUAAAGGCUCACCAAGGCAACGAUCCGUAGCUGGUUUGAGAGGAUGACCAGCCACACUGCGAAUGAGAAACAGCCCAGCCUCAUACGUGAGGCAGCAGUGGGGAAUUGUGGACAAUGGGGGAAACCCUGAUCCAGCCAUCCCGGGUGUAUGAGAAGGCCUUCGGGUUGUAAAGUACUUGUGGCAGAGGAGCGGUAUCUGAAGGAUAAGCACCGGCUAACUCCGUGCCAGAAGCCGCAGUAGUAC
rnacentral:rRNA from 1 species